UACGGGGGGUGCGAGCGUUAAUCGGAAUAACUGGGCGUAAAGGGCACGCAGGCGGUCUUUUAAGUGAGGUGUGAAAUCCCCGGGCUUAACCUGGGAAUUGCAUUUCAUACUGGGAGUCUAGAGUACUUUAGGGAGGGGUAGAAUUCCACGUGUAGCGGUGAAAUGCGUGGAGAUGUGGAGGAACACCGAAAGCGAAGGCAGCCCCCUGGGAAUGUACUGACGCUCAUGUGCGAAAGCGUGGGGAGCAAACAGG
rnacentral:rRNA from 1 species